rnacentral:antisense_RNA from 1 species
AGAGACGACGGCGAGGCUGCUCGGAGUGUCUAUGCCCACUCUGUUGCCGCUCCCGAACUCCAGCACGGUCUCCGACUCGGCCCCCUGCGCCCGCUCAGUGUCACUGCCUCUCGCUCUGGGAAAAUGGCGGCGACGGCGGCGGCGGCCGCGGCGGCGGCGGCGGCGGCGGCGGCGGCAAGUGCACGGGAUGCAUUCAACAAUCCACCGAAGGUUUGAGGAAGUGUCGGUGUUCGGUGGGACUGGUUCUUUCCCCCUUUCCCCCAGUGGCCCUCAAGUCUGGAUAUAGGUGAGCUUGGGCAUGCCAGUAUUGGGUGCACGGACAAGGACAGCAGGGCCUGGGAACGAACUCCCUCCCGUCACCCUCCGAAAGCGAUACACUUUCUCCCCCUCCCAAACAACCCCAGUCCCGUCUCCCCGUUCCUCUCCCCCUCCUCUCCCAGCCCAGUCUGGCCUCCAGCGCUGGGUGAACCCGGUUGGGGUGUCACUCGACGCCCACUAGGGGCAGAGGAGGCUCCAGUGCGCAGGCUCCGGGCACCGGAUAAAAGCGGAGCUGGCGAGUCUAGCGCGGUCUCGAUGGAGGAGCAAGAAACGGAAGAGGUCGGGGGGAGAAGCAGCAGGAAAAAUGCAGCCACCGUCAACGCCGCCUCCCUGCCACCGUGUUUCGGGGUAAAAAGCUGCCGUUGCCGUCGGUGCAGUUGCCGUCGCUGCCUCCUAUACUUCUCUUGGCCUCGGGGAAGGAUUU